UCCAGAAAUCCUCAAGCUCAUGUUGUUUACUGUUAUGUCAUAAUGAAUGUUGCUGCGGCUGUUAUGAUGAUGUGCUGCUGUUAAACCAUUUGCCUUUUCCAGAUUUUUUCCCAAUGCCAUGUUAUUGUGUGAUGUUGCUUGAAGUUCAUUUUUAUGAUGAUGAACUCAUACCUUUCCCAUAUUGUCUUGUUGGUUGCUGUUGUUCUAUGCUGCAUGAAUACCACAUUUGUGUUACCAUGUUGGUCUGUGUGAUUUUGCUUGAGGUUUGUUGGCCAUGAUAAUCAAUUGAAGAUGAGCAUUUUGAGCUGCCCUGCUGUAUGUUAAACACUAGGGUUUCUAAAAAUCAGAAAAUAUGAAGUUUCUUUGGUGUUUAC
rnacentral:lncRNA from 1 species